GCUUCAACCCAGGAGGGGCCCAAGGCAACCUAGAGAGUGAAUGAGAAGGCAGAAAAAAAUCAAGGCAGUAAGAUGGAGAAGCAAGUCGUCUCUCUUCCACUGCAGGAGUGACAGACCACUAUCUAUUGCCUGAGAGGGGCCAGCCACCAGGAUGAAUUUGAAGAGGCAGUUUGGGAAAGGAAAGUAGCUGUGCUCUGCUUAAAAUCUUACGUUCCAGAAGAAUCAAGAUCCAGAUGUGAUCGAGGAACUUCUCAUGACAGUGGAGAAACUCAGCCUGCCAAUAUUACUAAAGGGAAAAAAAGGUUUUGAGGUAGAUAUCCUCCAGAUUUUGUUGGAUAAGGGGGAAUUAAUAAUGUGGCAUAUGAGAUCAGUCCCAUAAUGAGGGAGAAAAGAUCAGAGGAAU